CGCGUAGGCGGUGGGUUACGUCUGCCGUGAAAUCCCCGGGCUCAACCUGGGAAUGGCGGUGGAAACGGGCUGACUAGAGUAUGGGAGAGGGUGAUGGAAUUCCAGGUGUAGCGGUGAAAUGCGUAGAGAUCUGGAGGAACAUCAGUGGCGAAGGCGGUCACCUGGCCCAAUACUGACGCUGAGGCGCGAAAGCGUGGGAGCAAACA
rnacentral:rRNA from 1 species